rnacentral:tRNA from 1 species
GCCCGGGUGGCGAAAUUGGUAGACGCACCACUUUGAGGUGGUGGCGCCCGAAAGGGUGUGCUGGUUCGAAUCCAGUCUCGGGCACAA